CAGCACCUCACCCCCCCUACAGUUCUCUGAUCUCUGCUUUCCGAAAGGAACAAUGGAUUUCAGAACUUAACCCUAAGUACUCGUUGGUUGUAGUAUUGCGGUUAUAGUUGUCGUUCAGGUUAUUAGAUCUCUGUUGCUGAGUGACGAUCACAAUGCUGAAAUGCUGCGUGGUCUGAAUGAGGCCGGUGGUUGAAGGCUUGAAAGGACAGUCCAGAUGUCGAAAGAUAAUAAAACAGAUUCGCACAUGAGCCAUUCUGGUAAGAGCCUCGGGGAGGACGCUCGUCGGGCGGUCGGCUGGACAUAUUACUCUGAUCAAUUGAAUCGUCCUCGUCGAUGCGUUAAUUGGAGACCCGGAUAGGAGAUACAAUAUGGAGAACGCACAGGCCCUCCCUUGAGAAGCGGUCUUUGGAUCUUCAUCAAUGCUAUAUGGAACCAACUCGGCCUCUAUCAACUCUGGUGGACGUCGGGCCUGGAUCAUUCUUGAGAUACGCGGAGACUGAGCACAAUACUACGCUCUAUGAAGAAGUCUACAUACGGACUGUCGUCUUUCAAAGGUUUCCACAUCCCGAUGGAUGUGAAUUGGCCACGAUCCCAACUCGUCGGAAGCAGUUUGCAGUUGCAUCUGUAGCGAGGUUCGAUUAGGCCCCCAAACAGAAACCUUUGAGAGAAGACAGUCAUUCAAAGCACCUCCGUGCCGCGAAAUCUGACAUAUUGUCGCGCUCCUGGAAAUAGUCUCCGGUAUCCUUUUUGCAUCUAGCCCAUUUACGUCUCCAGGGAUGGGUUCGUUUGAGUCCAAAAUAGGGAGAUGUCCGUUGCCUCUCUUUCCUUGCUGUAUAUCUUUGAAUACUCCGAAGGAUGUUCUAUCCACCCUGUCCGGGUCCCCAGAAUCUCGUGUCAGUUCGCGCAGUCCGCUCGCGAGACCAUUGCCCCGGCACCCUCCAUUGGCCUUGACACCUCUCUGGUGUGAUUCUGAUCAGCCGCAUCAACUUUCUCCCUAAGGCUCAGUCCUUAGGUGAUGGAAGGCGCCAACACAUUGUCUUUCAUCCUCGCGAUGUCUGCACAGCUAUUCCUCUACCUUGGGUCAUGGAUCUGAUGAGAGACGAUCCGCGGUUUUUAUAGAUGUAUUUUGUCCGCUUUACUGCCCUGCACCUUUGGCCUCCCUCUGAUGUAGAGGAAUCAAAAACUAGUCUCUGGAGGUACUGCUAUUCAAACAGAGAGAAAUUUCGGUCUGUGUCAAGCUAUCUGUUCGAUCAGGACAAAGUCUGCGAUUUGUCCGACUACCUGCUAGGUUUCUUGUCACAGCUGGUGUGAGAAUGACGGACUCAGAGCAUAGGGUUUGGUAUGGCUCAACUCUACUGAUGAUAUUUUGGGCGGCAAGAGAUUAGAUGUACUGGUGGGGCUCUUCAAAUUAUCUCUCGCUGCUAAUUCAGACCCCACCAGUGAUAUUCGACGAUAAAGUGGCUGCGCAGUGUCGAGAGGAGGACCCAUCUCGAGUUGGCGUCAAAGCUUAGUGCUUGUCU
rnacentral:telomerase_RNA from 1 species